UUCCGGUUGGUCCCGCCGGAGGCCAUUGCUAUCGGAGUCCGAUUUAGCCAUGCUAGUUGUGCGGGUUUAGGCCCGCAGCGGAAAGCUCAGUAACACGUGGCCAAACUACCCUGUGGAUGGGAACAAUCUCGGGAAACUGAGGCUAAUUCCCAAUAACGCUCCACCCCUGGAACGGGCGGAGCUGGAAACGCUACGGCGCCACAGGAUGUGGCUGCGGUCGAUUAGGUAGACGGUGGGGUAACGGCCCACCGUGCCAAUAAUCGGUACGGGUUGUGAGAGCAAGAGCCCGGAGACGGAAUCUGAGACAAGAUUCCGGGCCCUACGGGGCGCAGCAGGCGCGAAACCUUUACACUGUACGCAAGUGCGAUAAGGGGACUCCGAGUGUGAAGGCAUAGAGCCUUCACUUUUGUACACCGUAAGGUGGUGUACGAAUAAGGGCUGGGCAAGACCGGUGCCAGCCGCCGCGGUAAUACCGGCAGCCCGAGUGAUGGCCGAUAUUAUUGGGCCUAAAGCGUCCGUAGCUGGCCGGACAAGUCCGUUGGGAAAUCUGUUCGCUUAACGAGCAGGCGUCCAGCGGAAACUGUUCGGCUUGGGACCGGAAGACCUGAGGGGUACGUCCGGGGUAGGAGUGAAAUCCUGUAAUCCUGGACGGACCACCGGUGGCGAAAGCGCCUCAGGAGGACGGAUCCGACAGUGAGGGACGAAAGCUAGGGUCUCGAACCGGAUUAGAUACCCGGGUAGUCCUAGCUGUAAACGAUGCCCGCUAGGUGUGGCGCAGGCUACGAGCCUGCGCUGUGCCGUAGGGAAGCCGAGAAGCGGGCCGCCUGGGAAGUAUGUCUGCAAGGAUGAAACUUAAAGGAAUUGGCGGGGGAGCACUACAACCGGAGGAGCCUGCGGUUUAAUUGGAGUCAACGCCGGA
rnacentral:rRNA from 1 species